rnacentral:rRNA from 1 species
UACGGAGGGUGCAAGCGUUAUCCGGAUUCACUGGGUUUAAAGGGUGCGUAGGCGGGCAGGUAAGUCCGUGGUGAAAUCUCUGAGCUUAACUCAGAAACUGCCAUGGAUACUAUUUGUCUUGAAUAUGGUGGAGGUAAGCGGAAUAUGUCAUGUAGCGGUGAAAUGCUUAGAGAUGACAUAGAACACCCAUUGCGAAGGCAGCUUACUACGCCUAUAUUGACGCUGAGGCACGAAAGCGUGGGGAUCAAACAGG